CCUGCUCGUGCAGCGACGGCAUCUCACGCGUGCCUCUCCAGUGUUUGGCUCAAGCGCUCGUGUGCUGAGCCAAAGUCGGUUAUCCUGUGCUGUAUACCCAAUGAGAUGGCAUUGCUUCGGCUAAGUUGUCCCUUAUUCGUCCAGCGCCGCAACUCCUUAAGGAGGAGCGGAGUGGGGCGAACCACUAAGCUCCCUUCGUGUUUCCCUGCGUUGUCACCCGCCAUCCGUGCGUGUGCCUUCAAAGGCGACCCACGUCGGUGCGCUCGAUCUCUCGGAURCGGAACAUUGAGCGGCAUAGGGACCUCUCGGCCCUGAAUGCCCCCAAUAGAGCGUUCUACGCCCCGUGCGAACGACUGCCGCCCGACCUUGUGGUCUUGAGCCCACUAGGGCUCGACCUCAUGCCGGACCGGCGUCGGU
rnacentral:misc_RNA from 1 species